GGUUAAGCGACUAAGCGUACACGGUGGAUGCCCUGGCAGUCAGAGGCGAUGAAGGACGUGCUAAUCUGCGAAAAGCGUCGGUAAGGUGAUAUGAACCGUUACAGCCGGCGAUGUCCGAAUGGGGAAACCCAGUGCAAUUCGUUGCACUAUCGUUAACUGAAUACAUAGGUUAACGAGGCGAACCGGGGGAACUGAAACAUCUAAGUACCCCGAGGAAAAGAAAUCAACCGAGAUUCCCCCAGUAGCGGCGAGCGAACGGGGAGCAGCCCAGAGUCUGAAUCAGCUUGUGUGUUAGUGGAACGGUCUGGAAAGUCCGACGGUACAGGGUGAUAGUCCCGUACACCAAAAUGCACAGGUUGUGAACUCGAAGAGUAGGGCGGGACACGUGGUAUCCUGUCUGAAUAUGGGGGGACCAUCCUCCAAGGCUAAAUACUCCUGACUGACCGAUAGUGAACCAGUACCGU
rnacentral:rRNA from 1 species